AAAAAUAUUAGUAUAAAACAAUAUAAAAAGUAUUACAAUGAAACAAAAAAUAAAUAGAGGAGAUGAGAGAUUAGAGAAAAAAGAAAGAAUAGAAGAUCUGCGAGACUAGAGUAGAAAUGCGUCAUAAAAACGUAAUUAAAAGAGAGAAUAAUAACAUAAAAAUAAGAAGAUGGAAACGAAAGAAUAUAAGAGAAGAUAGAUUAAACUACAAAAU
rnacentral:lncRNA from 1 species